UACGUAGGUGACAAGCGUUGUCCGGAUUUACUGGGCGUAAAGGGCGCGUAGGCGGCCUUCUAAGUCAGACGUGAAAUCCCCCGGCUUAACCUGGGAACUGCGUCUGAUACUGGGAGGCUAGAGUGCGGGAGAGGGAUGCGGAAUUCCAGGUGUAGCGGUGAAAUGCGUAGAUAUCUGGAGGAACACCGGUGGCGAAGGCGGCAUCCUGGACCGACACUGACGCUGAGGCGCGAAAGCUAGGGUAGCAAACGGG
rnacentral:rRNA from 1 species